AAUCCAUGGUGAGGACACAUUUGUAGUAGGUCCUUGUAUCUAUCCCAUGCAUCGUAAAGAGUUCCUGUGUCCAUCUGCACAAACAAAGAGAUAUCAUUACGUAAUU
rnacentral:snoRNA from 1 species